rnacentral:rRNA from 1 species
AAAUUUUUAUUCAAUAGCGGAGGAAAGGAACCAACAGGGAUGCCCUUAGUAACUGCGAGUGAAGCGGCAAGAGCUCAAAUUUGAAAUCUGGCGUCUUCGACGUCCGAGUUGUAAUUUGGAGGGGCAUCUUCGGGGUUGGCGCCGUCCUAAGUUCCUUGGAACAGGACGUCAUAGAGGGUGAGAAUCCCGUGCCUGGAUGGCUGUCCAACUCCAUGUGAAGUGUCUCCGACGAGUCGAGUUGUUUGGGAAUGCAGCUCAAAAUGGGAGGUAAAUUUCUUCUAAAGCUAAAUAUUGGCGAGAGACCGAUAGCGCACAAGUAGAGUGAUCGAAAGAUGAAAAGCACUUUGAAAAGAGAGUUAAAAAGUACGUGAAAUUGUUGAAAGGGAAGCGCUUGAGAUCAGACUCGACCUUUGGUGAUCAGCCUUGCUUCUGCACGGUGCACUUGCCAUCGGUCGGGCCAGCAUCGGUUCUGACGGCGGGACAAAAGCCCGGGGAAUGUGGCUCCCCUCGGGGAGUGUUAUAGCCCCGGGCACAAUGCCGCCUGUCGGGACCGAGGACCGCGCUUCGGCUAGGAUGCUGGCGUAAUGGUCUUAAGCGACCCGUCUUGAAACACGGACCAAGGAGUCUAACAUCUAUGCGAGUGUUCGGGUGGAAAACCCUUGCGCGUAAUGAAAGUGAACGGAGGUGGGAACCCCCUCGGGGGUGCACCAUCGACCGAUCCUGAUGUCUUCGGAAGGAUUUGAGUAAGAGCAUAGCUGUUGGGACCCGAAAGAUGGUGAACUAUGCCUGAAUAGGGUGAAGCCAGAGGAAACUCUGGUGGAGGCUCGCAGCGGUUCUGACGUGCAAAUCGAUCGUCAAAUUUGGGUAUAGGGGCGAAAGACAAUCAACCUUUCA